UCUCUAUAUCCUUGUUGGACACAACUAAACCUUUCUUGGAUUUGCUGUGAUAUGGAGGACCAGCCAGGAAGCCACAAACCAACCACCUUAAACUAACUGAACAAGAGACAACAAAUAUGUUAGAGGUCAACAUUUUUCAAAACCUCUCUUUUUUUUUUUAAAAGAUCACCGAACCCAAGAAGGGCGCCUACGUAUCUCACUCCCGAGAGAGGAGAAUCAGGUGUGCAUAGUUCGUGAAGUCUUGCCAAAAUGGCCAAUUAAACUCUUUUCCUUUUUCUUUUUUUUUUCUUUAAAUUUUAAGAAGAAAAGAAAAAUGACAAAUUGUCAAAAGAAUAGACAACAUUUUUUUUUGAAAUUUUUAGUUUUAAUAACCUAUACAAAAUGAAACCUAUGAUUAUCAAAGAAACUCUUUUUUUGGGUUUUCAAUUUUGCAUUUCAUACGAAAAUGAAACUUGAACCUAUUAAAGGAAUUUUUUUUUGUAGUUUUCUUUUAUUGAUGCAUAGACACCUACUCUAAAUGAAGCGUGAAAAAAAUAUUUUUUUGAAUUUUUUGAAAUAAGAUCCCCGAACCAACAAUAGCCUUUCUACGUAUCUUACUCCGGAAAGAGGAGAAUCAGGGGUGCGUAGUUCGUCCAGAUUGGACAAUUAAGGAUUACUUAACAAACUACACCAAACUUGAGAGACACAACCAAAGACUAACGAUGAAAAAUGUCAAUAAAAUCUUUUUUGGAGUUUUCAGCUUGACACUUCAAAUAAAAAUGACACCAACAAUUAUAAAAUGAAAAAAAUCUUUUUGGUAUUUUCAUUACAAUGAAAUGUACAAAUUUCUACCAUUUUUUGCAUUUUCUUUUAUAAAAACUGCUAAAAAAUCUUUUUUAAAAAUUACGAAUUAUGAAUGCAUGCUAAAAGAGACAAAGUGAGAAAUUUUUUUUGAUGUUUUGAUUUUUGAACAAAUGAGUGCAGAAAAUAAAAAAUCUUUUUGAAUUUUUGAAUUGUGAAAAACAAAGGCCAUAAGGAACUCUAAAACUACAAAACUCUUUUUUUUUCUUUUCGACUCACUUUUCUUCCUUCUUUUUUUUUCAACAAUUUCUUGCCUACACACUUUGCUUCUAACUUAUGCUUUUGCCCAAAUCAAUCUGUCAAAUGAUCUCAUUACCCUCAAAGAUGCAACAUUUAGCAUGUAGGGAUGCCUUAGAGGUGAAUUUCCUACAAAGGACCAAGUGGGUCCUGCUAGGUCUCCAAUAUGAUACACCUAAGCAUGACCUAAAGGCCGACCUACGUUGGGGUUCACUAACAAGGCUGUUCGGGGGAGCGUAUGGUCGAUAGUGGCUUUUUUGCUUUCCACCUACUCCAUAACACCAACGGCUCNNNNNNNNNNNNNNNNNNNNNNNNNNNNNNNNNNNGUCGUCUAUAACACGUGUACUACGGACUUGUUGCAGAAAGAAUAACUCAGGUUAUACACAUGAUGCCAGAUAUAAAGCAGUAACACAUAAGAUAAAACUGUAAACAAAAAGCACGUAGACACUCAACAAUGAUAAACAAUAACACAAAACAACACAAACAAUGUCUAUACACCCAUAAUAUCAAACAAAGCUGAUACAACUCAAAAAAAUUAGCUCAAAUUCUGAAAAUCCCUAGCAGAGUCGCCAGAGCUGUCAUACCCCUUUUUCAACUCCAAAAGAAUUAUUUUUAUGGGCUUCGAAAGGGUUUUCAUUAUUAAAGUGACAAAAUGAAGAUAAUUUGUUUCGUAAAGGACCUUUUACAUUCAAAACUCAGAGCGCCACUUGGCAUAAUCUGGUGUGCCAAGUCACUAUUGGAAAAUCCUUUUCAAAACCAUUUGACUCUUUAAAAUGGUUUGCGAACAGAGAUUUCGGCUAAGGAAUUCUGUUGACCGAGGGGAAGGUGUUAGGCACCCCUCGAUCCCGUGGUUCGACCAUGGUCGCUUGGUGGAGCGUAUCGACUAAUUUUGACACUACGAAUGUACAAACCACACAAAACACGUAAAACAAUCAAACAAACAAACAAAACAAAACAAAAAAAUGAUUCAAAAGUACAGCGUCCUGUCCAAUUUUUACAGUCCAAAAUAGAAAAAUGCAAAAAUAAAUCUUAUCUAACCUACACUAAUACUAACUACGCUCCCGUGCUUUACCCGACGAUUCAGGCCUUCCUCACGAACGUCUUCCGCUAACAUAGUACGUCGGGGCAUUCCCCAGUGAAUAAAUACAUUGUGUCUCGGGGCAUUCCCCGGCUAACUAAAUACAUUUGAAUUAAACAUGAUAAACUAGAAACCAAACAUUCACACGCACAUUAAACAUUCAACACAUUUAAUAAACACAUCACUCCUAAGUUUUGCCUACCCAAACCGACAUUUGCCUAUCCAUUUCAACAUAUUAUAAUUCUAUCACAUUCCAACAAUAUUCAUGCUCAUUACGAAUUAAACAAAACAACAAUAAACCAAAGUUAAUCUAAAUUCAAUUUUUUAUCAAUUUCUCAAUUCCAUCCCCAAACAAUCAAUUUCAAUUCUCAAACGAGAUACCAUUUCACCAAAACAUAAUCAAGCAAACCAACCACGAGUCAAAAUAAACACGCAUUCAUCACCAACAAGGACCAAAUAACACGCAAUAUUCAAUCCAACAUCAAAUAUAAUAAAUAAUGAAAUAAAAAGAGAAACAGAGUAGAAUUGGACCUCAAUUUGAAGCUUUCAAACUCAAUGUAAUUCGAAUAAAGAGAGUCCGCACCCGAAAACCUCGAGCCGAACCUUAACACCAACAAUCCAACUCGACAAUGUGAAAUAAUGACCCAUUCACCGUCACUGUUCAUUGACAUUGUUCAUGUCGUUACUGUUCACGUCGUUAUUGUUCACUCCGUUACUGUUCACUUCAUUACUGUUCACUUCGUUACUGUUCACACUAUUACUGUUCACCAACACUGUUUACGCCGGAUUCCCAUUGUCCAGACCCUUUUUCUCUCUCAAUUUUUUUUCUCUUGCGCGAUUCUCUCUUUCUCUCCCUCAUUUUUUUUUUGUUCUUGUGAGAAAGAUGAUUUGGUGAUUGUUGUUAUUGUAGAGAAAAUGAUGAUGAAAGAAUGAGCCUCCCCCUUUUUCCCUUUUAGAAUUUUUCUUUUAUAUUUUUUAUUUGAUUUUUCUUUUCCUUUUUUUAUUAUCCUAUGUGGAAGCAUAUAAUUGGUGGCUUGUGGGAAUAAGUGUGUGGCAUGUGGGAAAGUUAGUGUGGCAUGUGGAAAGAUGAGGGUGGCGUGUGGAAAAAUGAGUAGGGCGUGUGCCUUUUGCAUGUAUCCAAUGAAAAAUGGCAAGUUAGGUGUUGAGGUGACAUAGUGAGGUGACAAAGAUGCUAUGUAUUUAAUUAUUUUCAAUUCUUUUUUUUUUGGGAGAAAUUAUCAAUUAAACAAAAGUACGGUAAGGUGAAUAAAAUAAAAAUUAAAAUUAAAAAUUAAAAAAAUAAAAUAAAAUAAAAAAGAUGAAAAUAUUUUCAGAAAAGGACAAAAUUACGUAUCUACAGACAUGACUCAAAAUAAAAGGUUUGAAGGUCGAAAAUUAUAUUAAGGUUGACAAGUAGCAGGCUAAAGUGUAUCUAUCUGUUCCUUUAUUAGUACUACUAGUCAAGCAUACGUGCGUUGCACGUGUGUUUCAUGUCAAGCCAUCAAUUAUAUAGAAACUACAACAAAAUAAUUGAUAAUUGAAAUAUUAGAACAAUACAAUUAAGUUUGAUCUUUGGUGAUUUGUAAACAACAUCUUUAAAGCUCAUCAAAAAACUAGUUAUAAAAAUAUUUGUUCCACCAAAUUUACCUUGUAAAUGCUUUUAUAUUAUUAUAGAAAGAAAGAGUCCUCAAUUUGUAGAAGUUCAAACUAUCGUCCAAAAAAAAUUAACUAAUAUGAAACAUUUUUAUCUGGGGUGCACUCAUAAAAUUUUUCUAAUAAUAUUAUAAUAUAAAAAUAAUAAAGAUACCCAAAUAUAGCAAAAAUCCUGCACGUCUGAACAAUAAUAUACUAUUAAUAUUUUUUAUUAUGUCAAAAAAAAAUAGAGGCCUAAUACUAUCAAAUUUUGAAGCAAAAAAAAUUUCGGGCUUUAGUUAUUUUCCUUGUUUUAAUUUAUUAAAAAAAAGGCUGCUAUUAAAUUUUGUUAUUUUAAUUUUGAUAAAAAUCAUCUUAUUUUUCUUUUUUUUCCUCUUAUUUUGUAUUUAGGAAUCCUUUCUCAAGUACACAAGAAGAAAAAAAAACUCAUCAAUAAUAAAUUUUCUUAUAUUUUUUCUUACCGUAUAUUUUAGGAUUUCUUUAUUUAUUAUAAAUAUAAUAAUAUAAUGAUUGAAUAAAAUAAGUGAAAAGACAAUUUUAUCUAUUGUGGAGAUUUUUAAUGAAGGGUAAAAAAUUCAAAUCACUUUUCUAAGGGUCUUUACACUUUUAUUAUAGUAUAGAUUAUAGAUAUAGAUAAUAAAUUAUAGAUAUAGAUAGAGAUUAUAGAUAUAGAUAUUGCGGAAAUUUUUAAUGAAGGGUAAAAAAUUUUAAUAUCUUCACAUUUUUAAUAUAUUAUUAUUAUUAUAGAUAUAGAUGCUUUCGAUUUUAUUACUACGGUUAUUUCUUUUACUAUGAUUAUAUUUAUAUUUGUACUUUUUAUAUUUUUCUUUCUUUAAUAUUUUCCUUAUGCAUAGUACUAUAUAAUUGGAUAAUUCUUAAUUUAGAUGUGAUAUUUUGUGGAUCAGAAUUUGUUGGGUCUUAGGACACGUUUGGUUCAUGUUAUAAUUAUAUUAUACUGUUUUUUUUAUAUAUAAGGGGGUUACAUAAAUUUUGUCUAUUUUAUCUAUCAAUUUUUUGUUUUUUCAGAUGAAUCAAAUUGCUCCACCUAACUAUUGUAUUGCCUUUUGUCUAUUUUAGCUUUUAUACUAAUUUUUUUUUUUAAAGAAAGUUCAAUGUGAGCCUCUGUCAUUGGUAUAUUGACGUUGCAGUAAUUUUGUGGGUCUUUUUUUUUUUUCACUUACUUUAGGUGGUCCUCUUUAGAUAGAUUUACUUUACGUGUUUUCAUAAAAAUUGAAUAUCUGCAUAUUUGACUUAAAAUAAAUUCAAAAUUUUUAUAUGAGCUGAAUUAGGCGGGUCAAAUGAAGUAUAGCACACAAAUAACUAUUAUAUUACCUUUUGUCUAUUUCAUCUUUUACACUAAAUUUCUUUUUUAAGAAAGUUCAUUCAAACGUGAACCUCUGUCAUUGAUAUAUUGACGCUGUAGUAAUUUUUGUGGGUCUUUUUUUUUUUCACUUACUUUAGAUGGUCUUCUUUGGAUAGAUUUACUUGAAGUGUUUUUAUCAAAAUCGGAUAUCUGUACACUUGACUUAAAGUAAAUUUAAAUUUUUUAUUAGAAUUGAUUUAGACGGAUCAAAUGGAGUAAAGCACACGAAUAACUAUUAUAUUGCCUUUUGUCUUUUUAGCUUUUACACUAAUUUUUUUUUUUUAAAAAAGUUCAUUCAAACGUGAGCCUCUAUCAUUGGUAUAUUGACGAUGUAGAAAUUUUUGUGUGUCUUUUUUCUUCGCUUACUUUAGAUGGUCCUCUUUGAAUAGAUUUACUUGAAGUGUUUUUAUCAAAAUCGGAUAACUGUACACUUGACUCAAAGUAAAUUUAAAUUUUUUAUUAGAAUUGAUUUAAACAGGUCAAAUGGAACAAAGCACACGAAUAAUUAUUAUAUUCCCUUUUUUCUUUUUUAGCUUUUACACUAAUUUUUUUUUUUUUUUAAGAAAGUUCAUUCAAACUUGAACCUCUAUCAUUGAUAUAUUUACAUUGCGGUCAUUUUUGUGGGUCAUUAUUUUCACUUAGUCUAAGUGAUCCUCUUUGAAUAGAUUUAUCAAAAUCUAAUAUUCAUGCACUUACUAUAAGUGGUAUAUAUAUUGACAUUGUAGUCAUUUUUGUGGGUCAUUUUUUUUUUUCACUUUUUCUAAGUGGUCCUCUUUGGAUAGAUUUAUUUUAGGUGUUUUUAUCAAAACCGAAUAUCUAUGCUUUAUCAAAAUCGAAUAUCUAUGCACUUACUCUAAGUGGUUUAUAUAUUGACAUCGUAAUCAUUUUUGUGGGUCUUUUUUUUUUCCACUUACUCUAUGUGGUGCUUUUUAAAUAGAUUUAUUUUAGGUGUUUUUAUUAAAAUCGAAUAAUUUAUGCACUUGACUUUAAAUAAAUUCAAAUUUUUUAUAUAUGCUGAAUUGGACGGGUCAAAUGGGACAAAGCACUCAAAUAACCUACUUUUGGGGUCAUCAUUUAACUUGUAUUCGUUUAUUAGAAUUUUUACAAGUUUAGCCACUUUAGAAAUAAUUUCAAAUGUACUUGACUGAAAUUAAAAAUUUGUGUCUGACUUCAGAAAUUUGUUUGAAGUUUUGCCGGCUUUAUGAGGAUGAAAUAUAAUUAAGAUAUUUUUGUCUGAAGUUUGGAAUGGCUUGUAAGGCUGAUUUCGUAUAUUUUUAAUAUAAGUUGUGGAUUUGACAAGGCCUAAUUCAGAUAUAUUUUAGCGAAGCCUUAUCUGGCUUGACAAGUCUUAACAUCAAUUUUUUUUUUUUUCUGAAGAUAUGGUCUUGACAAGGUCAACUUUUAGAUAUUUUUUAUUAAAGUUGUUAGGAGGGUGAAACUUCAAUCAUACAUGACUGAUGUGAAUGUUAAAAACUAAAAAUUAUUUAAAGUUAAACUUCAAUCGAGUAUAUCUAAAACUCUGAAUAUUUUUCUCAUUGGCGCUCUUCUAUUUAUGAAUUGGCGUGAUAUGCAAACGAAGAAAAUUGAAUUACAGAUGUGAAGGUAAAAUAGAAAGUACAGAUCUAACAAAUUUAAUAGUUUUAGUUCAAAUUUUAUAUUUUCGUUAUAUAUAUAUAUAUUAAUUUAAAACCUAAAAACUCCAAAGGUUUAGAAUCUAAAAUUCAUAAAAUUUCAAAUUUUGAAUUCUUUUUCUUUUAUUGAAGUCAUUGAUGACAUCAAGAAUAAUAAAAUAAAACGUGUCCUUUUAAGGUUUCUUUUUCACUUUUCCUUUCCAAAAAUGCUUGUUUAACAUCAACAUUUAUAUCUAGCUAUAUAUAUAUAUAUAUACAAGAACAUGCAUGUGUGAAGAAAAUUAAACAUUAUUAAUUAUCAUUAUUAUCCAAAAUGGCAACAUCAUUCCCUAUGAAUGCUGGUGAUGGUCCUUAUAGCUACUCAAAAAACUCCCAUUUGCAGGUAAUUGUUUCUACUUUUAAGGGAUCGUUUGGUAGAGUGCGUAAAAAUAGGGUUGAAUAUGGUGUAUUAGUAAUGUUGAUAUUAGUAAUAUCGAUGUUUCUUUAUUUGUGUAAUCGGGUAGAGGGUUAGGGGUGGGAGCGUUUCUUUAUUUGUGUUUGACGUUUCUUGUUCGUGGGUGUUGAGUGAUGUCUAUGUUUUCGGUUAGAUAGUCUUUUAGCAGUAUCUAGUGGCUGUUGUGUUACCUUGUGGAUACCGGUGUUAGUUUAUUUUGCAUAUUCUACUAAUCUAUACGCAUUUAUAUUUUGUGAUUUGCUAUACUGUUAUCGGUCCUAAGCCGGAGGUCUAUCGGAAACAGCCUCUCUACUUCUUCGAAGGUAGUGGUAUGGUCUGCGUACACUCUACCCUCCCUAGACCCUACUAUGUGGGAAUAAACUGGAUAUGUUGUUGUAGUAUGCACUGUUUGGUUCGGAAUAUUAAAAGUAACAUACAUUGUAUAGGUAUAAUAUAUGAACGUGUCCUUUAACUUGACUUCAACAGGGAUAAUCUAACACCAUCCAACUUUGGGUAUGCACAAGUAGACACUUAGGGGUCGUUCGGUGGGAGGGAUAAGGAUAAAUAAUCUCUCGAUUAAUUUAGAAGAGGAGCUUAUUCCAUGUUUGGUUGGGACAAAAUACAUGGGCGUUAACUCAUCCCAGGAUUAAUCAUCCCGAUAUUGUAAUGUUUUUUCUUAUUCCUUCAUGAGGAUGGGAUAACUAAUUUCGGGAUUAGUAAUCCAGGGAUAACUUGUUUUCCAACCAAACGACCCCUUAAAGUUGUAGGCACAAUUAAAAAAGUACCCCAAACAAGGUAUUAAUAUACCCAUAGCUGAUGAAUGCAGGAUUUUUUUCUAAUGCAUCCGACCAAACGAUCCCUAAGUAUUUACUCUAAAUACUUAUCUUUUCCAUAGAUCCCAAACUCAAGAUAAAAGUAUUUGAAAAAAAAAGAGCAAACAACAUAAAUCCCGACAGUUUUGAGCUUAAUUACAGAAAAUUCUAACAUUUUACAUAAUUACUGAAAAUUCUGAUUUUGAGUCUUUCAAGAUACAUAAUUAGCUCCUGAUACAUCUAACGAAAAUACAUUUUUUUUACUUUGUAAAGAUACAUAAUUAGCUUCAGAUACUUUUUUUUUUUCAAUUUUGAAUCUGUCAACAUACAUAAUUAGUUCUCUGAUACAUUCAACGAACAUACAUAAUUAGUUGAGAUUUUUUGUAAUUACUUUAUAAAGAUGAAAAAUUGUGUAAAUAUGAUAAGUUAAAGGUGUAUAUAUCUUUUGGUAUACCUCAUCUAGUAUACAUGCAUAACUUUAUACCGAAAAAUAAUUUUUGGUGUCAUACUAAAGUAACUGAACUUUUUCAUCUAUAAUAAUAGAAUCACUAAACUUUACUGUCAAAUGUGACUUUACUGUUAUAAUUGCAUGCAGAAAGAACUGUUAGAUAGUGCAAAAGACAUCAAAAUCAUGUCUUCUUCUUCAAAUACAUUACACAUUGCAGAUUUGGGAUGUUCAGUUGGACCAAACACUUUCAUUGCAAUGCAACAUGUUGUACAAGUUCUAAGAGCUGUUUUAGAAGUACUUUUCGUCAAUCAUUUUGGAAGUGAAAUAGCAGAAGAAGCUUUUACAAGGACGAUUCUCAAAAGUGAUGAAAUUUCAAUAUGGAUGAAAACGAAUUACCAGAAAGCAUGUCAGUUAUUUGUCGCUUUGAAGCGUAAAUAAGUUUCUGUGAAGAAAUCUAUAUAGUAUAUAAUUUCAGGUCUAUUGAGUGAUGUGACACGUUUCAUAGACAGAAAUUAUUAUUUGUGUGUUUUCUAAUAUUUUUGACCUUUUCAUCGUAUCUUUCACUUAAUGUGUUCUACAAAGAAAAUUGAAAAGUUUAUUUAUUAAUGUUUUAGAUAUCCUUAGCAGUUUAGUUUUAUUAACCCAUUUUACUCCAAUUGUCAAUAUAUGAUAUAAUUCAGGUCUAUGGAGAGAUAAUUAUGGCAAGUUUCACCAACAUGGGUUGUGGUGCAGUGGAUGAGGCUGCUCUACCCUUAACCAGAGGUCGAGGGUUCGACCCUGGGUAUGGAGAAAACUCUGUUGGGAGCGCUGCCACCUUAAUGUGCCCUUCAACGCACGAUCCAAAUUAGUCGAGGCUCCAAUGGAGGCACCAAACAUCGGAUGGGAAACCAAAAAAAAAACUAUGGCACGUUUCAUAUGUCUCGAAUAUCAAAAAAUAGAUAAAUAAAAAUAUUUCAAUAACGAAAUUCUAGAACAUAAAAUAAUAUUAUCAAAUUGGACAAAUAUUAUUGCGCAUUUUUAUUUUUAAUAACAUAAAUAAGUAAAUAUGAACGGACAGAAUAACAUAAUUAAUUGGGCCAAUGCUUGCCAAUAUUUCUAUAAAAUCAACAUUGAUUGGGACGAUUAAACACAUACAUAUAUAGAAACUAUAUUAUUGAGGUACCUUUUGCCACUAUAUUAUUUCUAUAAUAUAUAUAAGAGGGAGGUUGGGUGCUGAAGCAGAUCGACAUGCCUGCUUCAGCAGUCAGCUUCAGCUGCUUCAACCGUGUUUUUAUAAAUAAUUCUCUUAUUUAUAAGAGGCAGUUGAGCAGCUGAAGCAGGCAGGAGGUCGAUAUGCCUACUUCAGCUGCUUCACCUGUAAUUUUACUAUAUCACCCCUCAAUUAAUUAUUAUAAAUUAUCUAUGUAUUAAAAAAUUAAUAAUAUUUAAUAAAAAAUUAAAAUAGACAUUUAUGAUAUAUCUGCUUCAGCCGGUUCUGUCACACCCCUUUUUUAACCGAAAAAAAGAUUAUGUAUUGGGUUCGAAAGGGUUUUUAUUAUUAAGUGACAAAAGAAAACAAUUUGUUUCGAAGAAGGAUUGUUUUUACAUUUGAAAUCAGAGUCUCCACUUGGCAUAAUCUGGUGUGCCAAGUCACCAUUGGAAAGUCCUUUUCAAAACCAUUUGACUCUUUAAACUGGUUUGCGAACAGAGAUUCCGGCUAAGGAAUUCUGUUGACCAAGGGGAAGGUGUUAGGCACCCCUCGAUCCCGUGGUUCAACCAUGGUCGCUUGGUGGAACAUAUCGACUAAUUCGACGCUAAGAGUGUAUAAACCACACAAAAACAUACAAACCAAUCAAUCAAACAAACAAACAAACAAACAAACAAAUCCAAAAUUAUAGUGUUCAGUCCAAUUAUUACAAUCCAAAAAUAGAAAAAUACGAAAAAUAUAAAUCCUAUUCUAAGCUAGUCCUAGACUAAGCUCCAAUGUUUCACCCGAUGCCUCGGGCCUUGAUCGAUAUCCGCCUUCGCCAACAUGAUACGUCGGGGCAUUCCCCUGUGAAUAAAUACAUCAAUCUUCGGGGCAUUCUCCGGCCAAAUUAAUACACUUCAAUCCAAAAACAUAAACCAACACAUUUCAACAAAACACCCUCAAGUUUCAACGAUCGCAAGUCAUAAACUUUGCCUAACCCACUUAUAUUUGCCUAUCAAUGGUCGACCUAAACAUGAUACUACCAUUUUUCAACAACAUCUAUGCUUAUUCCGAACUAGACUACAUAUCACGUUCAAUGUCAACGAUUAAUUAAAACAACAAUAUUCAUUUUUAUCAACUUUCAAUUCCCGUUUUGCCCAAUUCCAUUGUCAAACUAGCUAACCAACUCUUCGACUAUCAAAUCCAACAUCAACCACGUACACACAACAAAGAUUCAAAUAUGCUAACCAAACAAGUUAUUCACACCCAUAACAAACAACUAAAAUUCAAAAAUAGAAUAGAGAAUGAGAUGAGAAAUGGACCUCAAUGCUUUAUUGAUUAACUGAUCUUUCCGAAUAGAACCGCGUCCAACGGAACUCAACGUCGAACCUCAAAACGACGGAACCGCAUCUCGGACUAGCCUCGGUAUGAACCCACAACUUGAACAAAAAUCCAAACCAGAGUCGAAUGCCGACCACCAGAAUCCAAACCCAAUUUCCGGUAGAAAACUGAAAACGCGUAUAAAAUUGAACCCUGAUGAGCUACCAGCUAGAUUUCAUCCAGAAAUCAAGAAGACCGAGAAGAUCUAGGGAAUUUUAGGAUGGAUCAGGCCGAGACGAUAAGCUUGACGUCAAUUUCAGUGAGAUUUCACCGAAAUCCAAAGAGAAACGAUCGAACGAGGAAUGGAAAACUAAUUCCGACGAGCUAAGUCGCCGAAACAGUGACCAACGACUUGAAAUCUUCACUCUCUCUCUUGAUUUUUCACCCUCUCUACUUGAUCAAUCCCUUACCCCACUGUAUCUUGCGAAAAAAAUAAAGAACAGAAGAAAAGAAAUGGUAUUUUUCUCUUUCUCGUUCUCUCUCUGCUACUCUCUCUCUUAUCGAUCUAUUCUCUUUUCUCUGUGUUUGUGUCUAUGAGAUGCUGUGAGGUGUGUGGUCCUUGUGGGAGUAAUGAUGGGUUUGCGAUGGAGAAGAAAAGGAGAGGAUAAUCUGCUCUCAAAAAUGGCAUUUUUGAAGCCAGACCCAGGAAGGAAAAAAAUAGUUCUUUUCGGGAGUUAAAGAAUGAUGAUAAUGGGUGUGAUUAUCAUCCCGUGGAUGUUCUAUUGUAUGAAUUCUAUGCAUUCUCCAUGGAUGAAUCCAAAAUGGAAUCCCUGUGUGCAUUGUAUAUAAUGAAAAAAAGAAUUCCCCCUUCUAUUCUGGGUGUGUAUGGAAUAUAUGUAUAUUGUGUAGGUGAUGUGUAAAUGAUGGUCAAGAAGAUAUAACGUAGGGCCCUCCAUUUUUGUUGUUUUCUUCUCCAAGGGAUAAAAAAUGUGAGUGGGUAGUGAGGUGGAAGCUUUUGAUUGGGUAGGUUGUUAGGAUAAGAUAAAUUAGUUAGAGGUAUUUUUUUUGUUUAUUUUUAUAUUUUUAUGGGAUAUAAUUACAUGGGGUUGGAAACAUGGUAAGGUGAACUAAAAAUGAAUAAAAUUAGACUUCGGGAGGGAUAAAAUUAGGUGUCUACAUCAUGCCCCUUUUGAAUGUAAACACGAACUGUUUUCAGACAAAGAAGUAUACAGCGAGAUCAAAUUUUGACCCGACCAUUAUCCAAAGAAAGAAACAAAAGGAAGAAGGACAACCGGGUCUUGACUUAAGACAUCCUACCUACCCAAGUUAUGAGAGAAUCAAGUCACGGGUAUUUCAUAAGAUUGGAAAGAGAUGGACUAUACCAAGUUGGAGAGUCGAGUGAGGUUCCAUCGAGGUUCUGGUCCACGGCUCUGUCAUUACAUUAAAAAUGAAAAUUACAAGUUAAAGCAUAAAUGAAAUUACAAAAAUCCUAUUUCAUUAACUUAUUGCCAUGCUUUCAACUUCUUCACCCUGUUCUGCAAGCGGGCUCCUGACUUGCUAUUUUUCAAUCUGUUUAACUUUCAAUUUCUUCACCUUGUUGCUUAAUUUUUCAUUUAUUCGCUCUGUGCUUCGGGCAGGCUCCUGAAAUCACAUCAAAACUAAAAAGAAAAUUAUCCCAAACAAAUAUUAUUAUAAAGAGAAAUUCCGUUUGCCAGAAAACUAAAGUUUCAAAAACAGAAAUUAAAUUUUUUUUUCCAAGUUUAUCAUCAGAAGACUUUUGGAAAAGUCACAUCAUACUUACUUGCAUGUUACAAUGAUAAAUCAAGACUCUGACCAAGAAAUGCAUCGCUUGAGAGUAAAAUUGAAUAACCAAGACUAGGAAGUGCGUCUCCUAAGAAUUAAAGUGAGGGAUUCUAACUAGAAAGUGCGUCUUCUAGAGAUACAAGUUUAAGUUAAAAAGUGUGCCACCUGACAAAUGAAAACUAGCAAAAAAGUGCAUCUCCAAAGGAUUAAGUGCAAUAAAUUGACUAGAAAGUUCAUUUUCUAGAAAUCAAGGGGACUGCUAGGAAGUGCAUUACGCAAAAGCAAAGUUCGAAUUACCCGAUCAAAGAAAUGUAUCUCCUUACCAAUGUUGCUUGAAUAAUCAAAAUAAGGAAGUGCAUCUCCUUACCAAUGCCACUUGAAUUACCAAACCAAGGAAGUGCGUCUCUUUACCAAUGCCACUUGAAUUACUCAAACAAGGAAGUGCGUCUUCUCACAAAUGUUUCUUGAAUUAACCAAACAAGGAAGUGCAUCUCCUUACAAAUGUUGCUUAAAUUGCCCAAGGAAGGAAGUGUGUCUCCAAUGUUGCUUGAAUUACCAAAACAAGAAAGUGCGUCUCCUUUGGAAGUGUGUCUCCUUACGAUAGCGCUUGAAUUACCAAAAUAAGGAAGUGUGUCUCUUUACAAAUGUUGCUUGAAUUGUCCAAACAAGGAAGUGCAUCCCCUUGCAAAUGUUGCUGGAAUUACCCAAACAAGAAAGCGCGUCUCCUCACAAAUGUUGCUGGAAUUACCAAACAAGGAAGUGUGUCUCCUUACAAAUGUCAAUCAAAUUACCAAACAAGGAAGUGAGUCUCCUUACAAAUGUUGCUUAAAUUAUCAAACAAGAAAGUGCGUCUCCUUACAAAUGUUGCUUAAAUUAUCAAAACAAGGAAGUGCAUCUCCUUACCAAUACCGCUUGAAUUACCAAACCAAGGAAGUGCGUCUCCUUACCAAUGCCGCUUGAAUUAUUCAAACAACGAAGUGCGUCUCCUCACAAAUAUUUUUUGAAUUAACCAAACAAGGAAGUGCAUCUCCUUACAAAUGUUGCUUGAAUUGUCCAAACAAGGAAGUGCGUCCCCUUACAAAUGUUGCUGGAAUUACCCAAACAAGGAAGUGCGUCUCCUAACAAAUGUUACUGGAAUUACCCGAACAAGGAAGUGCGUCUCCUUACAAAUGUCAAUCAAAUUACCAAACAAGGAAGUGCAUCUCCUUACAAAUGUUGCUUGAAUUGUCCAAACAAGGAAGUGCGUCCCCUUACAAAUGUUGCUGGAAUUACCCAAACAAGGAAGUGCGUCUCCUAACAAAUGUUACUGGAAUUACCCGAACAAGGAAGUGCGUCUCCUUACAAAUGUCAAUCAAAUUACCAAACAAGGAAGUGCAUCUCCUUAUAAAUGUUGCUUGAAUUUUCCACACAAGGAAGUGCAUCUCCUUACAAAUACCGCUUGAAUUACCAAACAAGAAAGUGUGUUUCCUCACAAAUGUUGCUGGAUUUACCAAAUAAGGAAGUGCGUUUCCUUACAAAUAUUGCUGGAAUUACCCAAACAAGGAAGUGCGUCUCUUUACAAAUGUUGCUAGAAUUACCAAAACAAGAAAAUGUGUCUCCUUACAAAUGUCGCUUGAAUUACCAUGAGUUUGAAUACCAAAUAUGUGCAGCAACAUUACCUCUUGCAUUUGUAGAAGUGAGAAUAUUACGGCCCUUGAUAUUUAGGCUUUGAAAUCCUUGAUUCGAAGGUAGCAUGUGUUCCUAUUUCAUACAAAGAAAACUUGUUAGUUUAAAAAUAUGGUGGUUGGUUUGUGGCUUAGCUUUCACGGCAAUCGCUUUUGCCCCCUUCACAUUUAACCUUGCUUCCAACCAUUAACAUAGGAUGUUGACUUACUGUAUCAUUGACCCAAACUCAAAUUAUUAAGAGUGACUCUGAAACAAACACAGUAUCUCUGCUUUGCCAUGCUCCUCAAAUAAACCCUUUGAAUCUUAGUAUUUUCAUAAAUUCCCAGACUUGUUUGUUGACAAAAUUUGUAUGCCUUAUUUAGGCUAACAAUCAUGUCUCUUUUAUGUGCUGACUUUUGUCUUGCUUUGUGCAAUUGGAGAAGCUGGUAGCAGUUUUGAAAUAUUUCCUCACUUGUUUUGAUAAGAACUUGACUCAAAGACAAGAAAAAAAAUGACAGUGAUUUUUAUUUGGACAACUGACCCAAGAAAAAUAAAAAUAAAAAUAUAAAGAAGAAAGAAAAGACAAUGAAUGUCCCCAUUUGAAACAAAGAAAUUAAAAAUUUAUCUAAAAAUGACUGUCAACUCUAAUGAUUAUGCCAUGCAUGUUGAAUUAAUCUGCCUGAUCUUUCCAUCCACACCUUCCACCAGUUGUUGUUGGGUUAAUGGUCUUGAAACUGAGUUGUUUCCUUGGGCCAAUUACAUUCGGAGACCUCAUUCGGCUAGUGGCACCUUGAAGGGUUUUCACCAACAAACCUCUCUUAUUUUUCUCUCAUCUCGCCAUCGUCUUAUGGUGCCCGUGAGGGUUUUCACCAAUAAGACUCUCUCAUUUUUAUUUCUCUCAACUUACCAUCGCCUUACGGUGCCCGUGAGAGUUUUCACCAAUAAGACUCUCACUUUUAUUUCUCUCUUAAUUCCUUGUGCUGAGGAAGACAGGUAGUUCCCAAAUACAUCAUCAUAUCUCUUGCAUGCUUUGCCUUAACAUCCCUAAAGAUUGAUCUGAAGGUCUUUCUUUGGUUGUAACUUGNNNNNNNNNNNNNNNNNNNNNNNNNNNNNNNNNNNNNNNNNNNNNNNNNNNNNNNNNNNNNNNNNNNNNNNNNNNNNNNNNNNNNNNNNNNNNNNNNNNNNNNNNNNNNNNNNNNNNUUUUAUUCGCUCUUUUCACUUUGCGAUUCUUUUUUUCUAACUCUAUUUUUCUUGACACUUUUUUUUGAAACAUUUUUGUCUCUUUUUUGUAACUUUUUUACUUUAUCUUUUUACUCGACACUAUUCUUUAAACUUUGCUUACUCUAUCUUGACAUGAAAGAAAAUAACACUAAGGCUCAAAUGGGGUAAACAAAGGAUGACACAAUGUUUGGAUAGCAGAAUGAAAUGCCUUCAUCGUAUCAAUCCUUGAGAAUGCAAGUACAUAACAUGCAAUUGGAAGUGAGAGAUGAAGAUCAUUUUCGACAUCUUUUCAAGAAGAUUGAGUCUGUGCGUCACUACUUUUUCUGUAAACUCCACCUUUGUUGUACAUUCCUCACAUCAAAUGACUCAUGCUUUUGUGGAGCUGCUUAUCUUCUUGCUUCUCUUGAUAUAGUGAUCACACGUCCACUAUUUGACCUAAUUGGGACUUGCCUUUCGAUCGAUGACCAAGUUGUUCUUGUGAUUCUCAAAAUAAUUGCCUUAACUUGUCACCAAAUGUCUCAGCACUCUAUCUAUUGUCUCAUAUGCUCUCUUUUUCUAACUUUAACCCUCUGAUUCAAUGUUCAUGCUUAAACUGGAUUUUAAGAUCUGGCUGAAACUUUCACUAGCAUGUCAUAUCACUAGAGUUAACAUAAAAUGUAUAUGUAAAGAAAACAAACAAACAAACAACACAUAUUUAAAACACAAAGAAAAAUAAGACACUUCAUUUAGUCGAAACAAAAGAUAGAAGGGUUUGAACAUAAUCAACAAAAGGACAAAACAAGAUAGAUCCCGAACUACAAACCUGAAAUAAUUCAGACAACAGAAAAAUAAAACAAAACAAGCUACUAGACCCCUUCCUGGUAAGGAGAUGGGUGAUUUCUCAAUUGCUCAGCCUGACAAAUUAGCCACUGAUUGGCAUAUCAGAGUGACUAGAGCUUCCCUCACUUUUCAGGUUUUGCACCAUAAUUGAUCCAUCUUGAAUCAUCUUUUCAAUUUCUCUUUUCAAAUCUAGACAAUCUUCAAUACUAUGACCCUGAGCAUCAGAAUGAUACGCACAACAUGCAUUAGGAUCAAAAUUUCUUGAACGCCGAUUAAGAGUGUGCCCAAGGAGAGGAGUAAUCAUGCCCCUAUGUCUCAAUCUCUGGAACAGACACGCAUAAGAUUCCCCAAUAGGAGUAAAAUUAUCAUUUUCCUUUCUCAUCAUUGCGAACUCUGGCCUUGGAUGAAACGUGGAUUUAGAGGUUCCUUGGUAAAUUUGUGGGGGUUGAGGAUAAUGUUGAGGGACAGGUGCAUACAUACCAUUGUGGAUAAGAAGACGGAUGGGUAAACAAUUGUGCAUUAUUCAAAGGACAUUGAGGAAGUGGAAUGNNNNNNNNNNNNNNNNNNNNNNNNNNNNNNNNNNNNNNNNNNNNNNNNNNNNNNNNNNNNNNNNNNNNNNNNNNNNNNNNNNNNNNNNNNNNNNNNNNNNNNNNNNNNNNNNNNNNNNNNNNNNNNNNNNNNNNNNNNNNNNNNNNNNNNNNNNNNNNNNNNNNNNNNNNNNNNNNNNNNNNNNNNNNNNNNNNNNNNNNNNNNNNNNNNNNNNNNNNNNNNNNNNNNNNNNNNNNNNNNNNNNNNNNNNNNNNNNNNNNNNNNNNNNNNNNNNNNNNNNNNNNNNNNNNNNNNNNNNNNNNNNNNNNNNNNNNNNNNNNNNNNNNNNNNNNNNNNNNNNNNNNNNNNNNNNNNNNNNNNNNNNNNNNNNNNNNNNNNNNNNNNNNNNNNNNNNNNNNNNNNNNNNNNNNNNNNNNNNNNNNNNNNNNNNNNNNNNNNNNNNNNNNNNNNNNNNNNNNNNNNNNNNNNNNNNNNNNNNNNNNNNNNNNNNNNNNNNNNNNNNNNNNNNNNNNNNNNNNNNNNNNNNNNNNNNNNNNNNNNNNNNNNNNNNNNNNNNNNNNNNNNNNNNNNNNNNNNNNNNNNNNNNNNNNNNNNNNNNNNNNNNNNNNNNNNNNNNNNNNNNNNNNNNNNNNNNNNNNNNNNNNNNNNNNNNNNNNNNNNNNNNNNNNNNNNNNNNNNNNNNNNNNNNNNNNNNNNNNNNNNNNNNNNNNNNNNNNNNNNNNNNNNNNNNNNNNNNNNNNNNNNNNNNNNNNNNNNNNNNNNNNNNNNNNNNNNNNNNNUGAACAAGAGGUAACAAAUAUGUUAGAGUUCAACAUUUUUUCUUCAAAACCUUUUUUUUUUUAGAAAAGAUCACAGAACCCAAGAAGGGCACCUACGUAUCUCACUCUCGAGAGAGGAGAAUCAGGUGUGCAUAGUUCGUGAAGUCUUGCCAAAAUAGCCAAUUAAACUCUUUUUCCUUUUCUUCUUUUACUCUUUUUUUUUUAAACUUUGAGAAGAGAAAAUAACAAAUUGUCAAAAGAAUUGACAAUAAUCUUUUUGAAUUUUUCAACUUUAACAUCUCUAUACAAUAUGAAACCUACGAUUACCAAAGAAAAAUCUUUUUGUAGUUUUCUCUUGAAGAUGUAUAUGAAACACCUACUCUAAAUGAAGAGUGAAUAAUUUUUUUUUUUUUGAAAUAACCCGAACCAACAAUAGGUUGCCUACGUAUCUCGCAUCCCGAAAGAGGAGAAUCAGGGGUGCGUAGUUCGUCCAGAUCGGACAAUUAAUGAUUAAAUAAUAGGCUAGACUCUGCCUUAAGAGAUACGACCAAAGACAGACGAUGAACCAUGUUAAUAAAAUCUUUUGAGUUUUCAUUUUGAUACUUCACAGAAAAAUGACAUCAACAACUAUGAAAGAAAAAUCUUUUUGGUAUUUUCGUUAUACAAAAUGUAAAAAAUUUCUAUUAUACAAAAUGUAAAAAAUUUCUAACAUCUUUUUUUUUUUGCAUUUUUCUUUUAUAAACACAUCUUAUGAAUAAAAAAUCUUUUUGAAGUUUUUGAAUUGUGAAUGCAUGCUAAACGAGACAAAGGAAAAUCUUUUUGAUGUUUUUUGAGAAAAUGAGUGCGAAAGGUAAAAAAGUCCUUUUGAAUUUUGGAAUUGUGAAAAAUAAAAGCCAUAAAAAAAAACUCUAAAAACUACAAAACUUUUUUUUUUCAUUACCCACACACUUUACUUCAAAUGACCAUGUUACCUUCAAAGAUGCAACAUUUAGCACGUAGGGAUGCUUUAGAGACGAUUCUCCUACAAAGGGCCAAGUGGGCCCUGCUAGGUCUUCAAUAUGAUGCACAUAAGCAUAACCCAAAGACUGACCUACGUUGGGGUUCACUAUGGUCGACAGUGGUUGCUUUGCUUUCCACCUACUCCAUAACACCAACGGUUCCCCCCCUAAAAUAAGGGUGACUCAACUAGAGGUCGUGUACAACACGUGUACUACAGACUUGUUGCAGAAAGAAGGCCUGGGGGUUGGGGGUAGACACAUGAUGCCAGAUAUAAAAGCGGUAACAUAUAGGAUAAAUACUGUACAGAAAGAGCAUGAAAACGCACAACAGUGAUAACAAUAACACAAACAAUAAUCACAAACAAUGUUUAUACACCCAUAAUGUCAAACAAAGCCGAUACGACUCCAAAAAUAAGACCGAAUUCUGAAAAGAUCCCCAGCAGAGUAGCCAGAGCUGUCACACCCCUUAUUUAAUCGAAAAAAAGAUUAUGUAUUGGGUUUGAAAGAGUUUUUAUUAUUAAGUGACAAAAGAAAAGGAUUUGUUUUGAAGAAGGAUUGUUUUUACAUUUGAAAUCAGAGUCGCCACUUGGCAUAAUCUGGUGUGCCAAGUCACCAUUGGAAAAUCCUUUUCAAAAUCAUUUGACUCUUUAAACUGGUUUGCGAACAGAGAUUCCAGCUAAGGAAUUCUAUUGACCGAGGGGAAGGUGUUAGACAUCCUUCGAUCCCGUGGUUUGACCACGGUCGCUUGGUGGAGCGUAUCGGUUAAUUUUGACACUAUGAGUGUACAACCCACACAAAACACAUAAAACAAUCAAACAAACAAACAAAACAAAAAGAAUCAAUAGUACAGUGUCCAGUCCAAUUUAUAUGUUCAGUCCAAUUAUUACAAUCCAAAAAUAGAAAAAUGCGAAAAAUAUAAAUCCUAUUCUAAGCUAGUCCUAGACUAAGCUCCAAUGUUUCACCCGAUGCCUCGGGCCUUGAUCGAGAUCCGCCUUCGCCAACAUGAUACGUCGGUACAUUCCCCGGUGAAUAAAUACAUCAAUCUUCGGGGCAUUCCCCGGCCAAAUGAAUACACUUCAAUCCAAAAACAUAAACCAACACAUUUCAACAAAACACCCUCAAUAUUCAACGAUCGCAAGUCAUAAACUUUGCCUAACCCACUUAUAUUUGUCUAUCAAUGGUCGACCUAAACAUGAUACUACUAUUUUUCAACAACAUCCAUGCUUAUUCCGAACUGGACUACAUAUCACGUUCAAUGUCAACGAUUAAUUAAAACAACAAUAUUCAUUUUUAUCAACUUUCAAUUCUCGUUUUUCCCAAUUUCAUUGUCAAACUAGUUAACCAAUUCUUCGACUAUCAAAUCCAAUAUCAACCACGUACACACAAAAAAGAUUCAAAUACGCUAACCAAACAAGUUAUUCACACCCAUAACAAACGACUAAAAUUCCAAAAUAGAAUAGAGAAUGAGAUGAGAAAUGGACCUCAAUGCUUUAUUGAUUAACUGAUCUUUCCGAAUAGAACCGCGUCCAACGGAACUCAACGUCGAACCUCAGACCGACGAAACCGCAUCUCGGACUAGCCUCGAUAUGAACCCACAACUUGAACAAAAAUCCAAACUAGAAUCAAAUGCCGACCACCAGAAUCCAAACCCGAUUUCCGGUAGAAAACUGAAGACGCGUACAAAAUCGAACCCCGAUGAGCUACCAACUAGAUUUCAUCCAGAAAACAAGAAGACCGAGAGGAUCUAGGGAAUUUUAGGAUGGAUCAGGCCGAAACGAUAAGCUUGACGUCGAUUUCAGUGAGAUUUCACCGAAAUCCAAAGAGAAACGAUCGAACGAGGAAUGAAAAACUAAUUCCGACGAUCUAAGUCGCCGGAACAGUGACCAACGACUUGAAAUCUUCACUCUCUCUCUUGAUUUUUCACCCUCUCUACUUGAUCUAUCCCUUACCCCACUGUAUCUUGCGAAAAAAAAUGAAGAACAGAAGAAAAGAAAUGGUAUUUUUCUCUUUCUCGUUCUCUCUCUGCUACUCUCUCUCUUAUCGAUCUAUUCUCUUUUCUCUAUGUGUGUGUCUGUGAGAUGCUGUGAGGUGUGUGGUCCUUGUGGGAGUAAUGAUGGGUUUGCGAUGGAGAAGAAAAGGAGAGGAUAAUCUACUCUCAAAAAUGGCAUUUUUGAAGCCAGACCCAGGAAGGAAAAAAAAAU
rnacentral:lncRNA from 1 species